rnacentral:misc_RNA from 1 species
UCCGGCUUAUCACCGGCAGUUUCUUUAGAGUGCCCAACUUAAUGCUGGCAACUAAAGAUAGGGGUUGCGCUCGUUGCGAGACUUAACCCAACAUUUCACAACACGAGCUGACGACAGCCAUGCAGCACCUGUCUCUGCAUUCCCUUGCGGGCACUCCGGGCAUUACCCCAGAUUCGCAGGAUUUCAAGCCUAGGUAAGGUUCUGCGCGUUGCUUCGAAUUAAACCACAUAAUCCACCGCUUGUGCGGGCCCCCGUCAAUUCCUUUGAGUUUUAGUCUUGCGACCGUACUUCCCAGGCGGAGUACUUAAUGCGUUAGCUGCGUCACUGAAGGAGUCAAUACCCCCAAUAACUAGUACUCAUCGUUUACGGCGUGGACUAC